rnacentral:rRNA from 1 species
GAUGAACGCUGGCGGCGUGCCUAAUACAUGCAAGUCGAGCGAACAGACGAGGAGCUUGCUCCUCUGACGUUAGCGGCGGACGGGUGAGUAACACGUGGAUAACCUACCUAUAAUACUGGGAUAACUUCGGGAAACCGGAGCUAAUACCGGAUCAUAUAUUGAACCGCAUGGUUCAAUAGUGAAAGACGGUUUUGCUGUCUCUUAUAGCUGGAUCCGCGCCGCAUUAGCUAGUUGGUAAGGUAACGGCUUACCAAGGCAACGAUGCGUAGCCGACCUGAGAGGGGGAUCGGCCACACUGGAACUGAGACGCGGUCCAGGCUCCUACGGGAGGCAGCAGUGGGGAAUCGUGGGCAAUGGGCGAAAGCCUGACGGAGCGAGGCCGCGUGAGUGAUGAAGGUCUUCGGAUCGUAAAACUCUGUUUUGAGGGAAGAACAGAUGUGUAAUGAACUAAGGACGUCUUGACGGUACCGAAUCAAGAAGCCACGGCUAACUACGUG